GGGACAGAGGGGACAGGAUCCUUCUCCAACUGACCGGCCAUUUUCCCCCCAGGCUGCCAGCACCUUAUCAGGUGGUGUUUGUCCAUCCGCCCCUCGGACAGGCCAGCACUGGAAGACCUGUUGUGCCAUCCUUGGGUGCAGGGCAUUCCCCUGCCCUAGAAGACGGGAGAGAUCCACGUGCUCCCUUUGAUCCAGGGGCCUGGCAGACAGCUGGGCCCUCGGCAGAACGCUGACAGCCUGGUCUGGCCCCCAGGGAAGGAGAAGGGGCCUCUGGAGAAGCUGUGCCGGGUGGGCCUGCUGCUGGAGACAUCGAGGACGAUGUCAGGGAUGACAAGCUCUCAGUUGACCUGGACGCCGGCGAGCUGAAGAGGAUGGCCUUUGAUUCUGGCCCCUUCCUCCAAGCCGUGCUCCACACGCCGUUUGCAGAUGAGUCCACACCCAGGGGGUGCUCCCGGACACGGGCAUUGCUCAGCCUGGCUGGGCACCGAAGGUUCCCCCUUUGCUGAUGGGGAACCUGAGGAAUUCUUCAGCCGGCUGCCAAGCUGCUUCUUGGCAGGAGGGCGGGCGGGUGCUCUGGGCUGGGUGUGAAAUGGGAGCCCGGCUCUGCCCCCAGCCUCUGCCACUGCCCCUUUGCUGGGCGGGGCUGGGGCAGGGGCAGCCAGCCUGCCAAAAACAAACCCCCGUGGGGGGAGCAAAGGCGGGGCUGCAGAACACCAGCUGCUUUGGGCUGCAGGCCAGGAAAGGCUUGGGCUGCCUUGGCUUAGGAGCCUUUCUUUGGGCCAGUGCAGCAGGGCAGGGAGAAGGCCUGGGUUUUCCUGAGCUGGAGGAGGGGGGGUUUCUCUUUGGCCUGGAGGGCUUGGGCCUUCCUCAGAACCCUGACAGAAGGUUAACAUUUUACCUUUUUUUCUUGUUUCCACUUUUGGUUUGUAAUCUCUGUUCAUGAAUUUGUUGUUUGUUUUCCAGGGAAGAGUUGGAGCUGGUGCCCAGUCCGGGUUGGGAAGGGCUGGGACCAUCCCUGGAGAGGAUCUGACGUCCCCUCUGAGAAGGCUGAGGACAUCCUUUGGGACACGCUCUUCUUGCGGCAGCAGAUCUUGGGAGGUAGAUGCUCCUCUUGCCCAUCUUGUCAGCAGGAGUGGGAUAAUGGCUUUGGGGAGAUGGCAGCAGGCACAUGAACAUCCCGCUCUUGCAGCUGCUGAGGAGGUUGAUCUCCUGGGCUUGGCUGGAGGAGGUGGCACCUGUGUUGAGUAAUUGCUGAAAUCCAAUCGAUCUGGGAUGACCCCAAAUGACAGUUUAGUUUUCAGCUUGCUCGAGCUGUAUCUCAGCUGUUCUCUGAACACUUCUCUCCCCCACCUGCCUAGUACUUCCCAACUGCUCCCUCCUGUCCCUGCAAUGAGUUCCCAGCUCCUCAUGGUCUCCAUCAAACCACUGAGAGAAGAAAUAGAAACUCACAGUCCCCCGGAGUGCCCAAAUGAGGAACAAUGUAAUCCUGGAGAAGUCCUAGAGAAUUAGAGAAAGGAUGUCCCAAACAAGCAGGAUGGAAACUAAGCUCUGGGUACCCAGAUAAUGAAAGAACAAACUUUAUUUUUGGUGGUGAAACACAAUGGUGCUGUGCUGCUCAAGAACUGAGGUCAGGAUGACAGAGAAGGCCCGGAAGGCCCAGAAAAGGACUUCCAAUAGGGGUGUGGCUGUGUAAAGCAAAGUACUGAAUCUGUAUUAAGUAAGCCAGACUAUUGAAUGCACAUGUAAACAGUGUGUGUAAUAAACAGCCCUGUCUGUCCUUUGGCACGGUGGAUUAGAGGAGCUCUCCUCUGAACGCCCAGCAUGCUGAAUAAAGAAGAAUGCUCUUUUUAACAUCUCCAAAUUGGGGUGAAGAAGUUUGUUUCUGCUGCUUUUCAGUGUCAUUUUUGGCCCCCAGACAGGACACCUCUGCCUGAUCUCCCGCGGAUCCGAGGGAUCUCUGGAUCUUCACGCCAGCACCAGGACUUUGCUGCAGAAGAGCACAGAUCCCCAGCCCAGUCUGGGACACAGAACGUGUGAAAGGGCAGAAAGAUUGUGGUGUGAAUGCAGCGCCCUCAGAGCCCUUGGUGUGAGCCCGGAAAGGAAAAUCAAGCUGAGGGACAAGAUCAGUCUAAUUUGGGGACAUUGUUGGAGGUUGGAGUUGCAGUUCUGGAAGAAAUCCCUGAGGAAAUGGUGCCCCCGGGGAGAGGAAGAGGACGAGAGCGUGGGCAGCCUGCUUCAAACAUCCCCCCAGGAGACCUGGGAUCAGUCCCUGUGCAUCCUGUAAGAAAGAUGGACACUGGAAAUGGGAUUGUCCGCAACUGAAACUUCAGAACCCUCCGAACCCUCUCGUGGCAUCACUGAAGACGACUGAGGGGGCACCAGAGGAUUCUUCCCCAUCAGAACAUCUGGUUCCAGCCAAGCUAAGCACAAUUGUUUGUGGCUGUGGGAACUUGUUCCUCUGUGUUAAAUCCAGGGAAAUGAAACUCAAGGGACAUUCUAGAACAAUUGUCUGGUGUGCCAGGGAAUUGGGAAACUGGGCCAUUUUUAAUGCUGUGGCUUUGAAACUGGGAAAACAGUGGUCGACUCCCCAGUUUUUGUAUUUCCCCAAUUCCCCAAAGCCUCUGCUUGGGAGAGAUCUCUUGGCAAAAUGAAAUGCCACAAUCCAAUUGAAAAAUGGUCCAAUAUAGGUUAUUAUUGCAGAGCCUAAUUCUGGGGAAGUUUCUAGUUUUGCAUGAGAGUCUCCAGAAGCAGAAGUAAUCCAUCUGCCACCAUCACUUGGGGAUGCAGUGGUUCCAACAGGAUGGGCUGGAGAGGUGCCUCCAUGAUCCAAGAGAGCAGAACCCGUGAGAAUUCCAGAGAAACCUGGAGUGGGGUUGGUGAGGCCAAAGCAAUGUCCUUUGCAAAUAGAAAGUUGUAAGGGAUUCUCACCCUUUGUAGAACAAUUGAUGAAAUUUUGCUUGUGAAAAGAAUGUGAAUCUAAAUGGAA